rnacentral:snRNA from 1 species
ACGGCUCUCACAAAAUUCAGAUU